rnacentral:rRNA from 1 species
AGUGAACGCUGGCGGCAGGCCUAACACAUGCAAGUCGAACGGCAGCACAGUAAGAGCUUGCUCUUACGGGUGGCGAGUGGCGGACGGGUGAGGCAUAGAUCGGAAUCUACUUUUUCGUGGGGGAUAACGUAGGGAAACUUACGCUAAUACCGCAUACGAUCUACGGGUUAAAGCAGGGGAUCUUCGGACCUUUGGCGAUUGAAUUAGCCGAUGUCGGAUUAGCUAGUUGGCGGGGUAAAGGCCCACCAAGGCGACGAUCCGUAGCAGGUCUGAGGGGAUGAUCAGCCACACUGGAACUGAGACACGGUCCAGACUCCUACGGGAGGCAGCAGUAGGGAAUAUUGGACAAUGGGCGCAAGCCUGAUCCAGCAACACCGCGUGGGUGAAGAAGGCCUUCGGGUUGUAAAGCUCUUUUAUUGGGAAAGAAAAGCAGCAGGUUAAUCCCCCGCUGUUCUGACGGUACCCAAAGAAUAAGCACCGGCUAACUUCGUG